rnacentral:misc_RNA from 1 species
GAUGCUCUGCAAUUGUAUCAAAAAAAUAGUCAGCAGAAAAUUUUUAUCGAGUACAUAAUGCUUGAUGGAGUAAAUGAUGAAGAGCAACAUGCCCAUCAGCUUGGUAAAUUGCUAGAGACAUUUCAAGUGGUUGUGAACUUGAUACCUUUCAACCCAAUUGGUAGUUUGAGUCAAUUCAGAACCAGUAGCGAGGAGAAAGUAUCAAGAUUCCAGAUAAUUCUUAGAGGGGACUAUAACAUUCGGACAACAGUUCGGAAGCAAAUGGGUCAGGACAUAAGUGGUGCCUGUGGUCAGCUGGUGGUCAACUUACCUGAUAAAAAGUCCAUUAAUGGUAUCACUGACAUUGAAGAUCUUCAUCUUUGAUAGGUGUAGAAUUUGUUGAACAUUUUUUUGCCUUAUUUUU